rnacentral:rRNA from 1 species
GACAGAGGGUGCGAACGUUGCUCGGAGUUACUGGGCGUAAAGCGCGUGCAGGCGGCACCGCACGUCGGGUGUGAAAGCCCGGGGCUCAACCCCGGACGUGCAUUCGAUACGACGGCGCUGGAGUACGGGAGAGGAGCGCGGAAUUCCCGGUGUAGAGGUGAAAUUCGUAGAUAUCGGGAGGAACACCAGUGGCGCAGGCGGCGCUCUGGACCGUCACUGACGCUGAGACGCGAAAGCGUGGGUAGCAAACAGGAUUAGAUACCCUGGUAGUCCACGCCGUAAACGAUGGGUACUGGGUGUCGCGGGUAUUGACCCCCGCGGUGUCGAAGCCAACGCGUUAAGUACCCCGCCUGGGAAGUACGGCCGCAAGGCUAAA